UACGGGGGGGGCAAGCGUUGUUCGGAAUUACUGGGCGUAAAGGGUUCGUAGGUGGCUUGCUAAGUCAGACGUGAAAUCCCUCAGCUUAACUGGGGAACUGCGUCUGAGACUGGCGAGCUUGAGGGCAGGAGAGGAACGCGGAAUUCCAGGUGUAGCGGUGAAAUGCGUAGAUAUCUGGAGGAACACCGGUGGCGAAGGCGGCGUUCUGGACUGCAUCUGACACUGAGGAACGAAAGCCAGGGGAGCAAACGGG
rnacentral:rRNA from 1 species